rnacentral:rRNA from 1 species
UACGGAGGAUGCAAGCGUUAUCCGGAAUGAUUGGGCGUAAAGCGUCCGCAGGUGGCAAUGUAAGUCUGCUGUUAAAGAGUCUAGCUCAACUAGAUAAAAGCAGUGGAAACUACAUAGCUAGAGUACGUUCGGGGCAGAGGGAAUUCCUGGUGUAGCGGUGAAAUGCGUAGAGAUCAGGAAGAACACCAGUGGCGAAGGCGGUUGCCUGGGGCUUUGCUGACGCUGAUGCGCGAAAGCGUGGGGAGCAAACAGG